UCGCAAUUCGAUCCACCGACAUCGUCUGCUCGAGUCAUCCGAGAUGAAAGUGAAACGUUGUUGCCUCUGUCUAUAAAAAUAGAGAGAUAGCGCCGCGAACAAACGUGACUAAACAGCACCGACACGUCGUGGAUGGUGAAAGGACGAAACUGUCUCUCAAAGAUUUUACGCGGGAAGAUGGCUAUCGAUCAAGGUGGAGUAAACUCCGCAGAAAAGUGGUUCACCCUUCGAACCCCGAGUGGCACGAGUCUACUCGCGUUACGACACGCUGCCGGUAGGCCUGAUAAUUUAUUAUUACUGAAGAAAUGGAAGCCGCCAAUCUAUUAGCACGUUCGACAAUAACAGCACCGGCCCUAUACAUAUGCCAUCUCCGACGGUGCUGGUAGGUCGCGAUCAGCUUGUUCAAGCGGCAUCGAUCACGACGGUACGAAGAUACCGUAUGUUGUACGAGAGAAGUUCGCACGAGCUGAGAAAAAUUGCAUUAGGUAGUGAAACAUUUCAGAAAAUGAUGAAUCGAUCGAAAGAUAGAAGGCUAACUCGACGAACGACAUUAUUGUAUCGUAGUAGCGUUUGAUCAUGCUUGAUUCGGAAGAUCGUGUUGAUUUUGAUCUAUAGGAGCUAGGGAACGCUUCGAUCGUGCGAUUUGAGUUCUCUUCGCGCGUUUAAUAUAAUAAUUUUUAGGUUAGCCACCUAAAUAUGCUUCAGCAUUAGCGAUUGAUUUUGAAAAAUUAUGAAUUUGUUGAAAAGAAUAGGUCUAACUCGACACUGGACAUCCU